rnacentral:ncRNA from 1 species
AAAGAUAGAGGUUGCGGGAUUUAAAAGUAAGUUUGUGGAGUUUGAGCAAACAGUGAAACAAACCUAAAGGAAAGACCGCCGAAACCUAUAGCUGAAAGCUUUAAGGCUAUAGAGUUGGGGUUAUGUAGAAUAUGCAUAACACUGUCAUAAAGUUAUUUAUGAUGAGCUAUCA